UUUUUUAACAGUUCGUUAAACAAGAAUGCUUGAGUACUGCUUAGAGAAGGAGGUUGUUGCUGCACAGAUUCCAAGAGAAGCAUGCAUCAUUAAAGUUCAAGUGAUUUUUAGCCUGGUGCUAUUAUGCUACCUUGCUUCUACUUUUAUAAGUGAGUUCUAAGCUGUUAAACAAGAAUGCAUGAGUCCUGCUCAAAGAAGGAAGUUGCUGCUACACAAAUUCCAAGAGAAGAAUUUGAAAAUAUAACUUUUAGAGAGAAUGGAAUGCAAAAUUAGAAGAGCAGAAGCUUGAAAAAGUGGUUCACACAGCAUUUGCGGCCCACCAGAUGCCUAGAUUGCCCUAAUUUUCAGGCCAUGGGACACCACCUGAACUUCCUGGAUCUUACAUAGCAUGGGAGAAUGAUUUGAAAUCUUACUCAUGUCACUUGCCAGAUGGAUUCAACAGUGCACUCUCAUUGUGAAGGAUCCAUAAAAGGCAACCUCCAGGGCCUAAAAGAAAGUCCAUAUGCCAAGCUCUUGCUAACUCCGAAACCUUAACAAAAAGGAUCCAUAAAUGCAACCAUGAUUGUCAACGAUGAGAAGGAAGGUUAACUGCAAUCUGGCAUUUUUAUUUAUUUAUUUAUUUAUUUUAAAUAUAAAUAUCUCUCCUUGUUAAUCUAUUAAGGUUUUGAUUGGAAACUGGUAUAUCUUUCUAAAAUUUGCCCCUUACCUCUCCUUUGAAACUAUUCAAUACAUUAUCAAGGCCUAGUUUCAUUAGAAUUCCUCUCACUACAAGAAAGUGGAGAAUAUCCGGCGAAUUUUUACCGGCGGCCAUCACCAACUGCUAGAUGC